rnacentral:rRNA from 1 species
AUGGUGACGUCAGCGUCCCAGGCGUCGUUGCCGCCGGUGAACGGCGGCGUGGAGGCACCGGCAUCUGCUCAUCUCGUCCGGCCGUUCGGAGCAUUCCCUCCUGAUUACUUGUGUGAUGCAGCAAAUGGAGAAAAGGUGGACAGUCCAUUUUUUACACUGGAACUUGAGCAUGGUGGAAUUUUCUAUGGCCUAAUCACAAACCUGGAGUACUGGAGCCCUUCUGUUGAGGUGUUAGACUUUGUUGACUCUGGCACUUUAUGUUAUGCAUUCCUUGAACAACACUUGGCUUGGUUGGGAUAUCCUGUGAGUGAGCACAUCAUCUACUUCACCAAACCAAAUAAACCAAUCUCAGAUGGGUUGAUCAGAAUUAGCAGUGAUGAGGAUGUGCAGCAUAUGAUCAGAGCCAGUGCUGAGCAUAAGGUGCUUGUAGUGCAGGUUGACCAUACAGAUUUCAUCAGCAACUUUAGGUCUGACUUGGUGUGCACAAGUUUUGAAGCAGCAAGUGCAUCCCCUUCCCAUAGCCUAGUUUCAGUCUUUGUAGAAGAUCCUUUGUCAGAGAUUGCAGCAAAUGGAACAGACCCAAAGAAUUUGCUUAUUGAGGGUGCUGAGCAGAACAUGCUAACUGAAGAUCCCUUGUUAGAUAUUGCACCAAUUGGAACAGACCCACAGAGUUUGCUUACGGAGGGUGCUGAGCAGAACAUGCUAACUGAAGAUGGAGAAACAGUUAUUGAAGAUAGGGAGGCCAUAGAGAAGUGGGCAGGGCAGAGAAUAUGCCCAAAGAUCAUGAAGAAACUAGACAAGAACACUGAGUUUGCUGCUAAUUGCCAUGUCUCUGAAGCUGGCCAACAAUUGUUCAGAGUUCAGUCUGGUAACUCUAGCUAUACAGUUGACUUGUGCUUGCACACUUGUGACUGCAGGAGAUGGCAGCUCUCUGGAGUACCAUGUGGCCAUAGUAUAGCAUGUUGCAGGGAGGAGAGAAUUGACCCAGUGACAAUGGUUCAUGAAUGCUAUAGUGUGGAGAAUUAUCUUAAAGCAUAUGGAUACACUUUGGUUCCACUUAGAGAUCCAAAGCAUUGGGAGAAACAGAAUGGAGACAAGGUAUAUCCACCAGUUUUCACUAAACAGUUGGGAAGGCCAAAGAAAAACAGGAAGAAAACACCAGAAGAGAAGAGAAGCAGGAAUGGUGUUAGAUAUUUGAACAAAAAAGGUGUGACAAUGCACUGCUCAAUUUUUGGCAGAGCUGACCACAACAGGAAAGGGCACUACAGGUGGCAGGAAGCACUAGUUGCAGAAGGAGUAGAGCUUGUUGAUGAUAACUAUGAUGAUCCAUCAUUUCUUCAGAACAUCUUUCCAAACAGGCCAGAUCCUAGGAUGGAUCCUACUGAGUCACCAACUAGCAUGGUUUUCAACAUGGCCAGCAGGGAAAGAGUAAGAAGACCUUCUCAAAGGGUCCAUGGCCCAUUGCCUGAGCUCUCUUCAUUUGUUGCUGCUGCUGGGGCUGAAAUACCACAACCCAGGGUGACUACAGAAAUGAAUGUUGCUAGGCAGACAAGGGCAAGAACUGAAGCUGACAUUGCAAGAGGAAAGAAAAGGAGAGGCAGAGGAGAGAUGGUAGCACGCACUGUAGUUAAGCAGACCCACCGUUCCACUAGUUCGUUCGCUCCGCCGAUUCGGUUUCCUAGUGCUUUAAAGCCAACCAACUCAACUCCACUAGCUCAACUCCACGCCACUCCACCUAGCUCCCAGUCCACCCACGUCGCAGCUCGCUCCUCGGUGCCCCCGCCACCCCCCGCUCCUCGGUNNNNNNNNNNCGGCGACGACGAUGCGCUCCGCGCGGACCUGAAGGAGAUAGCUCGCUGGUUCCCCUCCGGCCAGAUGCUCCUCCACCACGCGCUAGGCCUGGUAAAGGUCAUGACUGACGACGAGAAGCGUCGCGCCAUGCCCGCACCUGGCGUAGCUCCGGUCCUGGUCUUGCGCUUCGCAAUGGCGGAGACGCGGUCGGACGAUCCGAGGCAGCGCGCGCGGUGGUGGAUGUACCGCUCCGCCACCACACCGUCGCCGCACCCGGAUCCGUUCCGCGUUGCCUCCAGGAUGCAGCGCCUCCACGACGUCGUCCUCGCUGUCCCCGCGCCGGUGAACACCGCCUACUCCGACGAUGAAUCCUUCUCCGACGACACCGACUCUGACUCUGCCGAGGAGGAGAUUGAGGUAGUGCUGCUAUCUGACGACGAGCCGGACGACGUCGUCAUGCUGGCUCCCGUCGUCGCCGGCAACGAGGGCGACAGGCACCGCCCCAUUGACGUGGACCUGCUGCCAGAGAUGCCUGACUUUGUCAAGAAGGAGGUGCUGGAGGACGUGCUGACGGAGGUGGUGGACGGGCAAGCACGGGAUGCCUCCAAGAAGAGGAAGAAGCCGACGAAGAUUCCACUUGCAGGGGAGGUGCGCCGGUCCCAGCAUCUGAAGGAGCUCCAGAAAUGA